GGGAGUAUCACAAGCUCUCCCGGCACUUCUGUCGCUUCGGCCAGAAGUCGUCGAAAAAUUUGAGCAUGGUGAAAUCUGUCGCUUUGGCCAGAUUCACCAAGGAUUUAUUGAGCAAAGGAGGGGCUUCACGAGAGGUAAAUCGCAGGUAAGUUCAAUAAUUAAUAUAUGCGUUUAUGGACUAAUCUAGUUGUUUUGCAGAGUGUUUUCCUUUUUUGCAGGUUAGAUUCCAUAGUCCGGGUUAGGAUCGGAUUCUAAUAGUGAAUUUGUAGCCCCGACAGGAGUCAGAUUCUAUUAGUGAAUCAACGGGUUCUGUAUCCAAGGCGAGUAUCGGGUCCUGAUAGUGGAUCUGUAGCUCUGGUCAGAAUCAGACUCUGAUAAUGAGUCGGUCUGCUUUGUCGCUUCGGCCUUAGUAGACCAGAGGUCAUUUUGACGCAUCGGCCUUAAUGAUCUCAAGGGGGGAGAAUCCCAAGCUCUUCCUGACACUUCUGUCGCUUCGGCCAGAAGUCGUCAAACUCGGGGGGGGAGUAUCGCAAACUCUUCCUGACACUUCUGUCGCUUCGGCCAGAAGUCGUCAAACUCGGGGGGGAGUAUCAUAAAACUCUUCCCGACACUUCUGUCGCUUUGGCCAGAAGAUGUCAAACCAUGAGCACGAUAGAUCUGUCGCUUCGGCCAGAUCAAUCGAGGAUUUAUUGAGCAUGGGAAGGAGCGGCACGAGGAGCAGCCCGCCACGGCAAGGUCAGUAAGUCAAUAAUAAAUAUAUCAUUUAGACUGAUACAGUUGUUUUGCAGGUUAAUUUUGUUUUGCAGGAACGAUCCCGUCGCUUUGGCCAGGAUCCACGCAUUCUGUCGCUUCGGCCAGAAUCAGACUCUAAACGAGUCGGUCCAUUUUGUCGCUAUGGCCUCAAUGGACCAAAGAAUUAUUUUGUCGCUUUGGCCUCAAUAAUUCUUCUAUCUUAUCGCUUUGGCCUUGAUAGACUUGGAGAUCAUUUUGUCGCUUUGGCCUUAAUGAUCUCGACCCACUUUGUCGCUUUGGCCUUAGUGGGGUAACCGUCGUUGCGGACAUAAAGUCGCUCUUGAUCAGAGUGGACUAUAAACAUGGGUUCUGAUAGUGAACCAGAUCCUGUCGCUUUGGCCAGGAUCCACGCAUUCUGUCGCUUGGGCCAGAAUCAGACUCUGAUAGUGACUCGC
rnacentral:lncRNA from 1 species